rnacentral:tRNA from 1 species
UGGGGACUCGUCUAAUGGUAGGACAGCAGACUCUGAAUCUGUAUGUAGAGGUUCGAAUCCUUUGUCCCCAGCC